rnacentral:rRNA from 12 species
GUGACCUCGGAUCAGGUAG